GACGUAGGGCGCGAGCGUUGUCCGGAUUUAUUGGGCGUAAAGAGCUCGUAGGCGGCUUGUCGCGUCGUCCGUGAAAACUUGGGGCUCAACCCCAAGCUUGCGGUCGAUACGGGCAGGCUAGAGUUCGGUAGGGGAGACUGGAAUUCCUGGUGUAGCGGUGAAAUGCGCAGAUAUCAGGAGGAACACCGGUGGCGAAGGCGGGUCUCUGGGCCGAUACUGACGCUGAGGAGCGAAAGCGUGGGAGCGAACAGG
rnacentral:rRNA from 1 species